GGAAGGAGGGGAGCGCGUUCAUUCAUUCUUCCAUCAACAGGUUUUCUUGGUCAUGGCCAAGAUUUGAGAACAGUAAGUGUUUUGGAGCCUCCUGCACUAUAAAAGCAGGUAGAAGAUUGAAUUCUGACUGCUGCACGACCACAGUUCUGUAUUCAUAGCUCACCCCUCACUCCCACCACAUUCCUGGUGAGUAAACAAAUUGUGGUAUAUCCUGACAAAGGAAUAUUUGGCAACGAAAAGAAAUGAACUACUGGUACAUGCAGCAAAUAAAUAAAUCUCACAAUAAUGUUGAAUGAAAGAAGCCAGACAUACAAAGAAUAUAUGAUUUUAUUUACAUAAAUUUCAAGAAAAUGCAAACUGAUCUAUAGUGACAUAAGGUAGAUCAGUAGUUGCAUGGAACAUGGAACUGAGGAGAGGGCAGAAAGAGGUGGGUGAGGGGCACUAU